rnacentral:rRNA from 1 species
GGAGGGUGCGAGCGUUAAUCGGAAUAACUGGGCGUAAAGGGCAUGUAGGCGGUGAGUUAAGUCAGAUGUGAAAUCCCCGAGCUCAACUUGGGAAUGGCAUUUGAAACUGGGUCGCUAGAGUUUUCUAGAGGGGGUAGAAUUCCAGGUGUAGCGGUGAAAUGCGUAGAUAUCUGGAGGAAUACCGGUGGCGAAGGCGGCCCCCUGGAGAAAGACUGACGCUGAGGUGCGAAAGCGUGGGAGCAAACAGGAUUAGAUACCCUGGUAGUCCACGCUGUAAACGAUGUCGAUUUGGAGGUUGCGGUCUUGAACUGUGGCGUCCGGAGCUAACGCGUUAAAUCGACCGCCUGGGGAGUACGGCCGCAAGGUUA